CCCCCCUCCUCAUUGCCAUCCGUGUCUUCCUCUUCCCUCGCUUCCCCCUCCUCUUCCUGCUCUUCCUCCUCCACCCCUCCUUUCAUAGUAUUGAUGGCAAGGGUGUUCUAGAAUGGAGGAGUGCCCAUAGGCAUGCAAAGAAACCAGUUAGGAUGCUCUGUGAGGGGUUGUAAUCGUAAGCGAUGGACACAAUUCAAGCCACAGAGUGAAGACGGAAGGAUGCACUGUGCUCUAGAGCAACUUCUGGGGCAGAAUCACAGGGAGCCCGAAGUCAGGCGCCCACUUGUCUUCUCGCAGGAUUGCCAUAGACUUUUUCUGUGUGCCCACCAUUCCAGACUGAAGUAGAGAUGGCAGUGGCAGAGACUGGGAAGGCUGCAACGAAAACAGGAAGUUAUUGCACCCUGGGAAUAGUCUGGAAAUGAAGCUUCAAAACUUGCUUCAUGUUCAGUUGUACACAGACUCACUCCCAGGUUGACUCACACGUGUAAAUAUUCCUGACUAUGUCUGCACUGCUUUUAUCUGAUGCUUCCUUCCCAAAAUGCCAAGUGUACAAGGUGAGGGAAUCACCCUUGGAUUCAGAGCCCAGGGUCGUCCUCCUUAACCUGGACUUGUCUUUCUCCGGCAGCCUCUGACACCCCUCCCCCCAUUUUCUCUAUCAGAAGGUCUGAGCAGAGUUGGGGCACGCUCAUGUCCUGAUACACUCCUUGUCUUCCUGAAGAUCUAACUUCUGACCCAGAAAGAUGGCUAAGGUGGUGAAGUGUUUGACAUGAAGACUUGGUCUUAAGAACUGGAGCAGGGGAAAAAAGUCGGAUGUGGCAGCAUGUACCCGAAAUCCCAGAACUGGGGAGGUAGAGAUGGAUGAGUGCCCGGGGCUAGCUGGCUGCUCAGCCAGCCUAGCUGAAUUGCCAAAUUCCAACUCCUAUUGAAAAACCUUUACCAAACAAACAAACAAACAAAUAAUAACAACAACAACAACAACAAACUACCCCAUACAAGGUGGGCGGCUCUUGGCUCUUGAGGAAUGACUCACCCAAACCCAAAGCUUGCCACAGCUGUUCUCUGGCCUAAAUGGGGUGGGGGGGGCAGAGACAGAGACAGAGAGAGACAUGACUUCCUGGGCUGGGCUGUGUGCUCUAGGCCACCAGGAACUUUCCUGUCUUGCUCUCUGUCUGGCACAGCCAGAGCACCAGCACCCAGCAGGUGCACACACCUCCCUCCGUGCUUCUUGAGCAAACACAGGUGCCUUGGUCUGUCUAUUGAACCGGAGUAAGUUCUUGCAGAUGUAUGCAUGGAAACAACAUUGUCCUGGCUUUAUUUCUACUGUUGUGAUAAAAACCGGGGAACUCCAGGAAGCAGCUGAGGCAGAGGCAAAUGCAAGGAAUGCUGCCUCC
rnacentral:lncRNA from 1 species